rnacentral:rRNA from 1 species
GACGAACGCUGGCGGCGUGCUUAACACAUGCAAGUCGAACGGAAAGGCCUCUUUCGGGGGGUACUCGAGUGGCGAACGGGUGAGUAACACGUGAGUAACCUGCCCUUGACUUUGGGAUAACUUCAGGAAACUGGGGCUAAUACCGGAUAGGAGCUCCUGCUGCAUGGUGGGGGUUGGAAAGUUUCGGCGGUUGGGGAUGGACUCGCGGCUUAUCAGCUUGUUGGUGGGGUAGUGGCUUACCAAGGCUUCGACGGGUAGCCGGCCUGAGAGGGUGACCGGCCACAUUGGGACUGGGAUACGGCCCAGACUCCUACGGGAGGCAGCAGUGGGGAAUAUUGCACAAUGGGUGGAAGCCUGAUGCAGCAACGCCGUGUGCGGGAUGACGGCCUUCGGGUUGUAAACCGCUUUCGCUCAUGACGAAGCUUUGUGUGACGGUAGUGGGUAAAGAAGCACCGGCUAACUACGUG